UACGAAGGUGGCAAGCGUUGUUCGGAUUUACUGGGCGUAAAGGGAGCGUAGGUGGUUAGGUAAGCCCUCCGGGAAAUCUUCAGGCUUAACCUGAAAAGGUCGGGGGGGACUGCCUGGCUAGAGGACGGGAGAGGAGCGCGGAAUUCCCGGUGUAGCGGUGAAAUGCGUAGAUAUCAGGAGGAAUACCGGUGGCGAAGGCGGCCUUCUGGACGGUGACUGACGCUGAGACGCGAAAGCGUGGGGAGCAAACAGG
rnacentral:rRNA from 1 species